UGCUAUAAAGUGCUGUCUGAAACUGGGUAAUUUAUGAAGAAAAGAGGUUUAAUUGACUCACAGUUCCACAUGGCUGGGGAGGCCUCAGGAAACUUACAAUCAUGAUGGAAGGUGAAGGGAAAGCAAGGCACCUUCUUCACGAUCAUGGUGGAAGAGAUUCAGGCAAGUCUCAUGUGGCAGCAGGCAAGAGAGAGAGAAGGGAUUCUGGUCCAGAAGUCCCCCCUGGCAGCUGUCACCCUACGGAUUUGCAGAGAUGAACUCUCUUACUGGGCCUCCAGUGGAAGUGAGAAGGAAGCUGAUUUCUGCAGAGGAAGACAGGGAGAUGACAGGUUUCUUUGAUAGAUGUUUGAAUUUUGUUUUUCUAGGGCAAGGCAACUCAUUUGGUGGACAUAACAGGCAAUCUGGUCUCCACACAGACAAUCCAGAUGGUUGUUACGAGUUGAGAGGAGCUGGCCAUCGGGAGGCUCAGGCCAGCUCUUUUAUUACAGACCAUCUUCUCCCCACAGUCUGCAAGCUGCAUGGUUUCCUCUGAAGGACUGCGUGUUUAAAAAUUCAAACAUCCAUACGACUCUUUAUUUUCAAAAAUUAAGUGCUACAUAGAAGUAUGCUAAACUCAAGGCCAUGAAAUACUAUCCAGUUUUGCCAUCUUCCUAAGGCAAAAUGCUCAUGAGUUGGAAGCAUGGGACACAUUAAUCAACAUAGAGCUAAUCCUGGCUCUGACCUUAGCUCACUGUAUGGCCUCAGACCACUCACGUCUCUUCUCUGGAUUUUAUCCACCUCCAAGUGUAAAUAGUCUUGGGUCCCUAUCAGUUUUGACAGAAAAUGAUAGGUUUAAUUCAAUAAGUCUGUCUCAAUUCGAAUCACUGGGUUUUUAAUUAGUACAGUAGUCUUUCCUUAAUUACAGGGGAUACAUUCUAAGACACCCUGUAGGUGGCUGAAACCACAGGCAGUACUGACCCUAUUGCCAUCAAGUGGAACAUGUUUCGGUUCAUGUCUUCUAUCCACAAAUGUAGAGCCUUUUUCAUUUUAACUAAGCACUUAACACGCACCGCAGCUGUAACUUUUGCAGUUUGAGGUGUGACAGCAAAACUAGCAUGAAUUUCUUUUUUUCUUCACAAUUUCUUGAGUAGAAGACUGAAUCUUAGCAGCCUCAGCACACAAUUUUUUUUCUUUCCUGAAGCCGAGAACUUUCCUCUUUUCACUUAAAGGCAGCACUCUAUGGCUUCUGUUUAGUACAUCGACGUUGCCAGCAUUACUACUCUUGCGCUCCAGGACCAUUAUGCAGUAAAAUCAGGGUGAUCUGAACACAAGCAUGGUGGCACCACCAUAGUCGAUCUGAUCUCUGAGGUUGCUGCUCAGUGAGUCAUGAGUGGGGAGCAUGGAUAGCGUGGAUCCGCUGGACAGAGGCUGAUUCACUUCCCAGGAAUGAACGUGGAAGUGUAUCCAACUGGAAGAAUAAGUCCAAACCAAGGAGAUUUUGAGAGUCAAACUUAGGGAAAACCAAGAAGAAACUAAAAGUCCAGAGAUUGAACCACCAAAUGUAAGAACUAAUCUCCUACUAAUAGGAGGAAUCAACAUGUUCUUUCCAACAGACCUGUAGCCUCUGAUGGCACACAGUGUCACUGAGAUCAGCUGGGUGGUCAGGUGUUUGAGCCACCUUGAAACACCAGCAGCUGAGGAAAAGAGCUCCUGCUGCACCUGCUGGGAGCGGUGGGGUUGGGGCUUCCCACUUCCCGAAGCCCUGGAAAAGGGCACCCAGACAUUUUACAGAAUCCUUGAGAUGGAAGACAAGAGAUACUUUCCGAGUUUAAGGAGAACCCGAAGAAAGCUGCGUUUCUGUAUCCGUGCCAUGGGAAGUCUCCUGUCCUGUUUCCACUCUGCCUUCUCCAUAAAGCAGGCUGAUUAUCAGGGCCCUCACACAAGCCCAGCGUGGUAGCUGAUUAAGGCUUGACAAGCAAAAAGCAAACAGGAUUUCUAAUCAUGUGUCUCAUAGAAAUGGAGCCACAAAAACCCAAAGAAUUGCCAUUACACCCCAAGUCAUGCAAUUUAGAGCAACUCAGGAAAUAGGUGCACACAAGCAAACCAUGUGGUUAAAGCCUUUGGAACUGGUUUGAGCAAAGCUGUAGGUGAUUUGACAAAAUCAUCUGCAAAACCAGAUUUCUAACACCUCCCUGCUGUGUAUCUCAUUUCUGCUGAUGUGUGGUGCUUCAUAAGAUGGGGACGUUAAGCAUGCAGCAACUACAGUCAUUUGUUCUCAGAGGUCUGGACCAAAGAGAAACAAGAAAAGCUGGAGUCACACUACCAAAGGCCGAAGCUGAGCAACAGAGCUCUGGAGUCAGCUGCCUGGGUUCAGCAUGCAGCGCUGCCGUGGACGAUCUGUCUCUCUUGCAUAUAUGACUUACCAGUUUUACUUUCAGUCUCUCCAUUUCUAAUUAAAUGAGAUGCAGAAAUGCUGGUGCCUUGCUAUGAUGUUUGCAGUUAUUAUUUCUAGGAAAAAAAAUAUUAUUGUUACUCAGUAUCUGGUACAUCAAAACUAAGCCAGAAACGUUUAAAAAGAACAAAAGUAUCAUUUCUACUUAAUUCUCUAGCUACUUGGACAACUGGACUAUGCCCCUCCUUUCAAGGGAGGGCAAAGCAUUUCAGAAAAGAACUAAGUGCUAUUUCUCUGCUUCAGGAAUGUCUCCCGUAUGUAAAAGAAUGUGGCUUCAGGGAGUAGCAUGUGUUGUAAAGGUGGAUGGGUCUAACUUCAUGGACAGCUCUGACAUCCACUAGCUAUGCCACCUGAUGCAAACCACUUGGGCUGUCUGUAGUUUCGUUUAUCUUUCUGGAAUUGGUAAUAACAACCACCUGGCAAGAUCACUGUUAUGAAUACGGAGGAUCAAAGUUGUGAAGUUAUUUUGUAAAGUGAAAUGUUCUGAAAAUUGGAUUUUAACAGUGUCAGCGAAAAGUAGAUUUUUGACAUUUAUCAAGAGUUCAGCUAAUGAAAACAAGUAUGGAUAAUAGUUACAUAGAACUGUCUACUUUACUCAGUACUUUAGCAUAUGCUAUUAUAUUUAAUCUUCUUAAAAAGUAGAAAAUUAUACAAGCCAUGUAUUACUAUUAUUGUGGUGGUUGUCGUUCUCAAUUACACACUGAAUAUUAAGACCUCUCAGGUAGCAGCUGGAAGGACAUUGUAUCCAGUUUCCUGAUUGUUUUCAAUGGAAUAAUCAUGUAUACAUGCACUACUAAUGAGACAAUGGUGAUUCUAAAAGCUUAAUCAGGGGGACUUUUGUGUAUUCCAAAUCUACUAAAAAUAAAGAAACACAGAAAUGAGAAAAAUGUACAUUAGCAAGAAAAUGUACACCAGCAUUCAGGCUUAGCCUUUUGAGAGCAAUAUGAUAAAUAGAAAUAGAAUUUCACAAAUUUAACAUGAUGCUAAUCGAGGAAUGAAUGAAAAAGUGGUCAGCAGUCUAAAUGGAACAUAACACAAAGAGAUCUCGUAAACAGUAAGCUUUGUGCAGGACAUCUCUUGGGGGUCCCAGGUGUUGGGAGAGUCAGGGAGAGAUGUCUACUGUUUGAACAGCAAUAAUACAAAGUUGAAGUGGGACAAUAUUCACCACCGUAGCUUGAUGGAAUUAGCCUUUCAAAAGAUUGAGUUUAUUUAUUUAGAAAUUGCCUUACCCCCUUUUUAUAAAUGUGGCAAAUCAGCAAAGACGGUGACAUUCUUUUAAUUCAAAACAUCCGUUCAAUCUACAGUCUGCUCUCCUAGAUGGAUUUUAAGAGUGGGGGUUUGUCUUCCAACUAAUGUUUGUCUUCCAACUAAUGUUCCCCUGUCAAUUAACUAUCAUUUCCUGUUCUUAUUAAUCAAUUAGAUCUUUUCCACUGCCUCAGACUAUUCUUCAUUCAACAUUUGUUUUUUAUCUAAAAUGUCCCAGACUGUUCUAAGCAUUAAGAGUAAAAUGUCUUAGAAGAAAUAAAUCAAGUUGAGUGGGUAUCAUAAACCACUCAACUAGUGGCCGAGUCAGAAAUCUAAAUGAUGUUUUUGAGGAAUCUUCCUCCGCCUCCCCUUUACCUAUCCAGUCAUCCACCAACCUUGC
rnacentral:lncRNA from 10 species